rnacentral:rRNA from 1 species
UUGAACGCUGGCGGCAUGCCUUACACAUGCAAGUCGAACGGUAACGCGGGGCAACCUGGCGACGAGUGGCGAACGGGUGAGUAAUGCAUCGGAACGUGCCCAGUAGUGGGGGAUAGCCCGGCGAAAGCCGGAUUAGUACCGCAUACGACCUACGGGUGAAAGCGGGGGACCGUAAGGCCUCGCGCUAUUGGAGCGGCCGAUGUCAGAUUAGGUAGUUGGUGGGGUAAAGGCCUACCAAGCCUACGAUCUGUAGCUGGUCUGAGAGGACGACCAGCCACACUGGGACUGAGACACGGCCCAGACUCCUACGGGAGGCAGCAGUGGGGAAUUUUGGACAAUGGGCGCAAGCCUGAUCCAGCCAUGCCGCGUGCGGGAAGAAGGCCUUCGGGUUGUAAACCGCUUUUGUCAGGGAAGAAACGCCUUGAGAUAAUACCUCGGGGUAAUGACGGUACCUGAAGAAUAAGCACCGGCUAACUACGU